rnacentral:sRNA from 1 species
AUUUACGCCAAAUUUUUGUGUUCCUUAGUUCUCUUCUUUUUCGUUUGUUAAAAGUGUUUCUCCAUCGCUCAACACCUAACGUUGUUAGCUUUAUUGCCUUAUGCGCAUUCAACAAACAGCUUCCCGCAUAUCAGUAAAGUGAGACUUUCUACCCCUGUGUAGGUUCCGGAGCGAACACUGUUGGAGUUACGAGCUGUCGCAACGACGACGUUUAUACAGAAACUGGUAGUGCCUACAGAAAAGAAUAUGCUCCCUUCCCCCUCAUUUGAUCCCGCAACGUGUCUUUGGCUAUACCCACAACUAUGACUUUGAAUUGUUCAUGCAUGUACUUAUAACUAUCUGAUUC